GAGAUUUUUUUACUUGCACACCGGUACAGUUUUUGCGGGGAAGCGAAGGUUGCUUGAAUUUUGUCUUCUUCUAAAAACAAGUGUCUGAUACAUGUAGUUGCAGUCUGUCUUUGGAAGCUGUUGAAGUAACAAGAAAGAGGCUACAUUGACAUCCUGUUUUGGUAGGGAGAAGUUUGAGUAUGUACAGUUGUUUGACCUGUCUUACCAUGUGGCAGUCCCAGAAGAUGUUACCAUUAUGAAUAAAUGUAGGGGAACUUGAAGACAAUGGUUAGUGCAGAAGGGACAUAAAAGUAAUGUGAAAGUAACAGAUAUAAAUAAGGGUGUUGCUCUACAGAGGUUGCACUGUACUUAUAAUAUCUAUUGUUAAUGCUUUAAGAAAAACAACACUUUCAACAAGGGGAAAAGUGAACAUCUAUUACUCAUAAGAAGUGCUACAAGUGUGUUGUCAUGUGAAAAGGACUUUACCCCCAACUGUGCUGCAUGAUGUAUAUUCAAGAGUGAGACAGCCAUGCACCAUCUGUAAACUGAGAUGGACCCACACAUGAAAUAUGUUGACUUUUCUAUGUAUUAUCAUCUGUACAGAAUGUGUUUAUGACAAGACUGUAUACAUAUAUUGUUAAAUCAGUUUUUAUUUCCAUUAUGGCAUGCAUGUAAGAAGAAAGCAUUAAUUAAACAAUUGCAUUCAUAGAAAUGUUAAAAUGUGAUCAAUCUAAUUUAAAUAAUAACCUUUAAUUGGACUUUCAAAGUUUCAUAUUAUUUUUGGUGGAGAUUGACUCAGUCAUUCUACUGUCUGUGAGUUAUUUCUUGUAUGUUAUAGUUUUCUUAAUAAUGCAUAAAAUAUCGAAAUAAUGGUUAGAUGAACUCAUUCAUCACUUGUACAUUAAUGUUAAAGCAGUUCAACAUUUUACCAUAACUUAAUUAAUAUUCUAUUAACCAGAUUUGUCACAUAUUUUCAUAUAAACAUUUGUAUAAUACAGUCUAAUCUAAUCUAGAAAUGAUGUUCCACAAUUUUUUAGUUAUACUUUAUUUUGUUUUGAUGUCUCAACAUAUAAUUACUAACAUCAACAAAACUUAGAUAUUUUACAAUUUGGUUGGUAUAAAUGGUUGUUUUGUUGAUAUGUUUUAUUUAUUUCCACCCAGGGGAAUAAAGAAAUAUACAUUUUAAAAUAUCUCAUCAUUCCAGAUAAGUACACUACAUAAUCAAGAUAAAAGAAAUAAGAAAAAUUAUGUUGGUGGAAUUUUAUUUUGAAAAAUUGAUAUACAGUCUUUGUAGUAUUUACUUCUUUAGAUAUGUUGGACUGAAAUGGGAAUAACAACAUACUUUAAAUUUUUGUAGUCAUAAGUUUAUAUGGGAAUUAUUAACUUGAAAUAGAUUUUACCUCGCUGUUAUGCCAUCUGAGCUUUAAUAUUUUUCAACAUUGUCAUUGGCAACAAGGCUAAACAUUAUUUCUUAUGUAUACCUUGCAUUCAUGUGUGAGAAAUGAUUUUAUGGUAUUCUUUAAUAUGAUAUAUGCUUUUCAUCUUACCAUGGAUUGAAAAAAUAUAUAUUUAUUUGUCUGAAAAUUAAGGUAAAAAUACUGACUGAUUAAGUUGCAAUAUAAGAAAGCUUAUAUGAGAUAAAGGGAGGUAAUUCCAUUAAAAUAUAUGUAGAAUGUAGAUGAUAAAUAUAAUGAAGGGAGGUAAUAAAAUAUUGUGAAGUUAAUAGUCUUCAUUUCUUUGAUGAGCUAAUUAAUUGUUUUACAUGUUGGUUUAUUAACUACAAGUAUGACCUAACAUGUGUAUUUUUCCUGAAGGAAAAUAAAAAAGGUUGUUUGAUGUCCUUGUACUGUUAAAUUGUUCCUGGAUUUGUUUACAUUCCAUGUCUGAAUGAACAGGUGAAACAGACUUUAAUGAGGGUAUUACUGGAAAAUACCUAAGUUUAUUUUUAUAUCAGCAAAUUUGAUGAGAUAGUCAUUCAGGAGUUGUCUAUCCUAUUUCCA